UGGCAGUGAUGACUUGAAUUUUAAUACCAUCAAACUCUGAAAAGCUCGCAUUGAAGAGCUUGUUGAUGCAAAUCUUUUAUUAAUCUGAGCCG
rfam:Citrus clementina cultivar Clemenules unplaced genomic scaffold scaffold_9, whole genome shotgun sequence.